AUGAUCGUUCUUUUACCUGUCUUUGUAGGUUUUUGUGGUGACUCUUGUUCUAUUUGCUUGCAACCUGUAAUAUUGUGUCCUUGCUUCUGGCACCCCGAACAUGUCACCUUAGGCUUUGAUAUGAUUUCAUCUACUAUACUUUUCCGCCUCCAUGUUUUCUUGAUUCUUCCUUUUGGUUUGAUGUAUACUGGAUCGUUUAGUUUUUUCUCCCCCUUGCUAUCUGAAGUCAAUAUUUCUCCUGUGAUAGCUGUUAAAUCUGAAGCAGAACAUUUUGGUCGCUCCAUUUCUGGCAUGCAAGAUUUUUUGAUGCCUCAGAAGCUAGUUGAACUAGCCUUCUUGAAAAUAAGAAGAAUGCCAUUUGCUCGUCCAAAUCCUCAAGGUUUGCAUUUUCUUCAUUACCUUGAAAUACUCUCUUUUCCUUAG
rnacentral:rRNA from 1 species